AUUUGACCUCAAAUCAGGUAAGAAUACCCGCUGAACUUAAGCAUAUCAAUAAGCGGAGGAAAAGAAAAUAACAAUGAUUCCCCUAGUAACUGCGAGUGAAGAGGGACAAGCUCAAAUUUUAAAUCCGUCGGGUUACACCUGACCGAGUUGUAAUUUGAAGAGGCGUUUUCCGCGUUUUUGAUCAGUCCAAGUCCUUUGGGAUAGGGCAUCAUGGAGGGUGAGAAUCCCGUUCGGCUGAUCAGAUUCGCUUUACGAUACGUCAUCUAAGAGUCAAGUUGUUUGGGAAUGCAGCUUAAAAUGGGAGGUAAAUUUCUCCUAAGGCUAAAUAACGGCGAGAGACCGAUAGCGAACAAGUACCGUGAGGGAAAGAUGAAAAGAACUUUGAAAAGAGAGUUAAACAGUACGUGAAAUUGUUGAAAGGGAAACGAUUGAAGCCAGUCGUACCGGUGGGUAAUCAGCCUUUCGGCGUGAUUAUGUGGAGCGUGAGGAGUCAAACGCCCUCAUGGCCUGCAUAUUCGUGUUCUUUGGGUGUACUUACCCGCAUGGUAGGUUAACAUCAAUUUCGAACGUCAUAAAAUGGUUGGAGGAAUGUAGCUUCGAUCUCGUAUUGAAGUGUUAUAGCCUUCGGCAGAUGUGAUGAUCGGGAUUGAGGAUUGCAACGGAUACCCCUCGGGCUACCCGUCUGAUCUCUGAAAGUUACUCUGGUGCCGAAAGCUCGCUUACGGUCAUCAAAGUUGACGUUCAACAGGUUAGAACGGGAUAAAUUCGUUAAGGAUGUUGACGUAAUGGCUUUAAACGACCCGUCUUGAAACACGGACCA
rnacentral:rRNA from 1 species